GAAGAAGAGAUGACAAAGAACUGGGAACAGGCAGAGCAUGAAUGGAACUAUCAAUAGACACAUUUUGUUCAUUGACGCUCAUGCACUGCCUCUUCCCUGGCUCUCUCUUUCUUUUUCCUUCU
rnacentral:pre_miRNA from 1 species